rnacentral:rRNA from 1 species
UACCGGGUAGAUAGGCUGCGUGUGUAAGUGUGGUGACACAUUUAGCUUGGCAGUACUAAUAGACCGAGGGCUUGACCUUAAAA